rnacentral:rRNA from 1 species
UUUUAUGGAGAGUUUGAUCCUGGCUCAGGAUGAACGCUGGCGGCGUGCCUAAUACAUGCAAGUCGAGCGAACGGACGAGAAGCUUGCUUCUCUGAUGUUAGCGGCGGACGGGUGAGUAACACGUGGAUAACCUACCUAUAAGACUGGGAUAACUUCGGGAAACCGGAGCU